CCCGCACAAGCGGAGGAACAUGUGGUUUAAUUCGAUGAUACGCGAGGAACCUUACCUGGGCUUAAAUGGGGAGUGACAGCUGUCGAAAGAUGGUUUUCUUCGGACACUCUUCAAGGUGCCGCAUGGUUGUCGCCAGCUCGUGCCGUGAGGUGUCGGGUUAAGUCCCAUAACGAGCGCAACCCUUACCGUAGUUACCAUCAGGUUAAGCUGGGGACUCUAGCGGGACUGCCACCGUAAGGUGAGAGGAAGGUGGGGAUGACGUCAAAUCAGCACGGCCCUUAUGUCCAGGGCUACACACGUGUUACAAUGGCCGGUACAAAGGGCAGCUACUUCGCGAGAAGAUGCUAAUCUCGAAAGCCGGUCUCAGUUCGGAUCGAAGUCUGCAACCCGACUUCGUGAAGCUGGAUUCGCUAGUAAUCGCGCAUCAGCCAUGGCGCGGUGAAUACGUUCCCGGGCCUU
rnacentral:rRNA from 1 species